GACGAACGCUGGCGGCGUGCCUAAUACAUGCAAGUCGAGCGAAUCACUGGGAGCUUGCUCCCGGUGGUUAGCGGCGGACGGGUGAGUAACACGUGGGCAACCUGCCUGUAAGACUGGGAUAACACCGGGAAACCGGUGCUAAUACCGGAUAAUCCUUUUCCUCUCAUGAGGAAAAGCUGAAAGUCGGUUUCGGCUGACACUUACAGAUGGGCCCGCGGCGCAUUAGCUAGUUGGCGAGGUAACGGCUCACCAAGGCGACGAUGCGUAGCCGACCUGAGAGGUUGAUCGGCAACACUGGGACUGAGACACGGCCCAGACUCCUACGGGAGGCAGCAGUAGGGAAUCUUCCACAAUGGACGAAAGUCUGAUGGAGCAACGCCGCGUGAGCGAUGAAGGCCUUCGGGUCGUAAAGCUCUGUUGUUAGGGAAGAACAAGUACCGGAGUAACUGCCGGUACCUUGACGGUACCUAACCAGAAAGCCACGGCUAACUACGUGCCAGCAGCCGCCGUAA
rnacentral:rRNA from 1 species